rnacentral:rRNA from 1 species
UACAGAGGGGGCAAGCGUUAUUCGGAAUUACUGGGCGUAAAGUGUGCGCAGGCGGUUGAGCAAGUCGAGUGUGAAAGCCCCGGGCUUAACUUGGGAAUUGCGCUCGAAACUACUUGACUGGAGUGUGGCAGAGGAAGGUGGAAUUCCACGUGUAGCGGUGAAAUGCGUAGAGAUGUGGAGGAACACCAAUGGCGAAGGCAGCCUUCUGGGCCAACACUGACGCUCAUGCACGAAAGCGUGGGGAGCAAACAGG